rnacentral:rRNA from 1 species
GGGCGUGCGCAGCUUAACAUGCAAGUCGAACGGUAACAGGGAGCUUGCUCCGCUGACGAGUGGCGAACGGGUGAGUAAUACAUCGGAACGUGCCCAGUAAUGGGGGAUAGCUCGGCGAAAGCCGGAUUAAUACCGCAUACGCCCUGAGGGGGAAAGUGGGGGACCGCAAGGCCUCACGUUAUUGGAGCGGCCGAUGGCUGAUUAGCUAGUUGGUAGGGUAAAGGCCUACCAAGGCGACGAUCAGUAGCUGGUCUGAGAGGACGAUCAGCCACACUGGGACUGAGACACGGCCCAGACUCCUACGGGAGGCAGCAGUGGGGAAUUUUGGACAAUGGGGGAAACCCUGAUCCAGCAAUGCCGCGUGUGCGAAGAAGGCCUUCGGGUUGUAAAGCACUUUUGUCAGGGAAGAAAUCCUUUGGGCUAAUACCCUAGGGGGAUGACGGUACCUGAAGAAUAAGCACCGGCUAACUACGUGCCAGCAGCCGCGGUAAUACGUAGGGUGCAAGCGUUAAUCGGAAUUACUGGGCGUAAAGCGUGCGCAGGCGGUUGUGUAAGACAGGUGUGAAAUCCCCGGGCUUAACCUGGGAAUUGCAUUUGUGACUGCACGACU